rnacentral:tRNA from 5 species
GGCGGUGUGGCGGAAUUGGCAGACGCGCUGGACUCAAAAUCCAGUGCCGGUUACACGGCGUGUCGGUUCGACCCCGACCACCGCUA